UACAGAGGGUGCGAGCGUUGUCCGGAAUCACUGGGCGUAAAGGGCGCGUAGGUGGUGGCUUAAGCGUGCGGUGAAAGCUCGGAGCUCAACUCCGAGUCGGCCGUGCGAACUGGGCUCACUGGAGCAUAGUAGAGGCAGGUGGAAUUCCGGGUGUAGCGGUGGAAUGCGUAGAGAUCCGGAAGAACACCAGUGGCGAAGGCGGCUCACUGGCCCGGUACUGACGCUGAGGCGCGAAAGCGUGGGGAGCAAACAGG
rnacentral:rRNA from 1 species